UCCGAGAGGAGAAGAAUCCAGACCAUCGGCUAAGGUCCCGAAAUAAUAGCUAAGUUGACCAAACGAAGUCAGAGUGCGAAGACAGCUAGGAUGUUGGCUUGGAAGCAGCCAUUCAUUUAAAGAGUGCGUAACAGCUCACUAGUCGAGUGCUUUGGCGUGGAUAAUAAUCGGGCAUAAGCUAUUUACCGAAGCUGUGGGAUGUGUAAACAUCGGUAGGGGAGCAUUCUAGCGGCGCUGAAGGUGAGAGGACAACUCUUGCUGGAGCUUCUAGAAAAGCAAAUGUAGGUAUAAGUAACGAUAAAGGAGGUGAGAAACCUCCUCGCCGAAAGACUAAGGUUUCCUGAUCAACGCUAAUCGGAUCAGGGUUAGUCGGGGCCUAAGGGGAAGCCGAACGGCGCACCCGAUGGAAGAACCGGUUAAUAUUCCGGUACUAAUUAUGUGAGCGAUGUGGAGACGGAGAUGUGACGGUCCUGCCAACUGACGGAAUAGUUGGUUGAAGGGUGUAGGAGUUGAUCUGAGUAGGCAAAUCCGCUCGGAGAUCCGAACCUGACAGUACUCUGAGUGCUUGCACAAGGAGAUAUGGACAACUGUAACGGUGCUCCCAAGAAAAUCCGCUAAGCAUAUUGCAUGAUUACCCGUACCAUAAACCGACACAGGUGGUUGGGUUGAGUAUACUAAGGCGCUCGAGUGAUUCGCGGUUAAGGAACUAGGCAAAAUAGUCCUGUAACUUCGGAAUAAAGGACGCUCACAGUGAAGGCUGUGAGCCGCAGAGAAUAGGCCCAGGCGACUGUUUAACAAAAACACAUGGCUAUGCUAAAUCGAAAGAUACUGUAUAUAGCCUGACACCUGCCCGGUGCUGGAAGGUUAAGAGGAGAUGUCAUCGCAAGAGAAGCAUUGAAUUGAAGCCCCAGUAAACGGCGGCCGUAACUAUAACGGUCCUAAGGUAGCGAAAUUCCUUGUCGGGUAAGUUC
rnacentral:rRNA from 1 species